rnacentral:lncRNA from 1 species
UGAGAGGCUCUGUAGUUAGUUGCUUUGGGAAAGCUUUGACGGGUUUGUUUUCCUACCAGACAUGAAUCACACAUCUGUUUCUCUCCUUCGAUGCUUGGUAAGCCUAAGACCAUAUCACUUGACGCCAUUGUCUUUACGGUUUUAAAGCUUACGUGUCCGAGUCUUGCGUGCCACUUCCAUUGAUCUUCAUCUAGCUUCGCAAGUAGACAAGCUGGUUUGCCAAUC